GAUGAAGAACGUAGAGAAAUGCGAUAAGUAGUGUGAAUUGCAGAAUUCAGUGAAUCAUCGAAUCUUUGAACGCACAUUGCGCCCCUUGGUAUUCCAUGGGGCAUGCCUGUUCGAGCGUCAUUUACACCCUCAAGCUCUGCUUGGUGUUGGGCGUCUGUCCCGCUGCUUUGCGCGGACUCGCCUCAAAGGUAUUGGCAGCGAUCAUGCCAGCUUCUCGCGCAGCACAUUGCGCUUCUUGAAGUUCUGGUGGAUCAGCGUCCAUUAAGCUUACCUUCAUGACUUGACCUCGGAUCAGGUAGGGAUACCCGCUGAACUUAAGCAUAUCAAUAAGCGGAGG
rnacentral:misc_RNA from 1 species